UGUGUCGUGCGGUGCCGUGGAAAUGUCACAUCAGGUGGAGGGCAUCGAUGGAAAAGCUCCACGCAGCGUGCAGCGACCGUCAAGAACAUGAAGCGACACGCUGCGGCACUACUGUGCUCUGCCGUGGACGUGACGCGCACUGUGAGCGGAAGGAGACGUUGGAAGGAGGCGGUGCGGCGGCUCGCAGUGUUAGCCGAUUAAGCCGCCGGAUGGCCGACCGUUUAGUCGCUGAAAGGAAGAGGGAAUCCAUUUGGCAUAAACAAACUUUAUAUUUCAUCACCGUCUGGGAACCAAACUACCCAACAAUGGCGAUUUAUCUUUUUAAUUGUUUUUACCAUACAGCCUUGUGUGUUGGAUCCCGAAACCGAUGCGGAAGUAAAGACUGGACAGUCCGAAGUUUGUCAAGAAAAGAAGUUACUUCAAGACGUCUCUCGAUGAAUACCUUCUGCGCAAGCGUGCGAGGAAGCUAAACUUAGCUUUAGCAUGGAUGUGAAAACAGGAUGGUGAACAACUCGUUUUACAGUUAAAAAGAAUAAAGCACGUCUUUCAAGCGCAUCGGUGAAGCAAAUCUGAGAAGCUGCUGUGACAGCACGGGAGAUUCAGUUUGACCCUGGGAGAAGGACUUGGCUGAAGCACAGGAGCCUCCUCGGUGGCGACGGGGACCUCCACCUCCUCCUUCUUCUUCUCCAUCUUCUCCUCGCUGGUGGUCACCACCGUCUCUGACUGAGUGACUGCGGCGGUGCUCGUCACUGUCGCCCCCUCGUGGCCGGAAACAGAAACACCGCUGGUCUUGGCGCCGAAUGAGCUGCUGGUCAUGGAUGGGGGGCGACAGCUCUCCAGGCCAAGCUUCCUGUAGGUGGCGAUCUCAAUGUCCAAUGCCAGCUUCACGUUCAUCAGCUCCUGGUACUGGCGGACCUGCAGGGCCAUGUCCUGCUUGGCCCUCUGAAGAGCCUCCUCCAGGUCUCGAAUGCGGAGCUUGGCGUCCUUCACGGCCAGCUCACCGCGCUCCUCGGCCUCGGCGAUCUGGGCCUCCAAAUUAUUGAUCUGAAAGAGGUCGCGUGUUUGAUUUCGGAGGUCCGUGCUUGUCCGAGCGCCGUCGUAUGAUGUUUAACGCUCACCUGGGAUUUGACCAUGUCGAUUUCAGACUGCAGCCUCGUGAUCCUGCGGUUCAUGUCGGCGAUCUCCGCCUUGGUUGAUUUGAGGUCGUCGCCGCAUCUUCCGGCAGAUUCCUGCAUCUCUGCAUACUGGACACACGUAAACAUAAACUUUAUAUGUUCUAUUAUAGGGCUGCACGGUGGACGAGUGGUGAGCAAGCAGGCAUCGCAACUGGGAGACGUGAGUUUGAUUCCACCCUCAGCCAUAUCUGUGUGGAGUUUGCGUAUUCCUUUCUCCGGGUACUCCGGUUUCCUCCCACGUUCCAAAAACAUGCUAGGUUAAUUAGCCACUCCAAAUUGUCCAUAGGUAUGAAUGUGAGUGUGAAUGGUUGUUUGUCUAUAUGUGCCCUGUGAUUGGCUGGCCACCAGUCCAGGGUGGACCCCGCCUCUCCCCACAAGACAGCUGGGAUAGGCUCCAGUUGAUUAGUCUUCUCUCGUUGUCGGAGUUUAAUAAUAAUCCAUUUUGACAUAAUUUGGCAAAAGACGUUCUUUAUUUUUCUCAAGCUGCUGCACCCCUCCUCCCCUCAAGUCGACAGGUGUCUCCCAGGGACCCAAAUAACGUUUGUGUUGUGUAUGAAUGGUGUUGCAUGUGUUUGACUGUAGAGAACGUAGUAGUCGUCCCUCGCUACGUCGGGGUUCAAACAUUGCUCCCUCAAUCUAUCACUUUUUUUCAAAAAAUAAUACUAACUAAUUAUAGGUAGUAUUUUGGUCACUUUUGUUGAUGAGACAUGAAAUGAUGUCAUAAUACCAUCAUACUGUAUGUAUGUAGUCAGCCAUGACAUGGUAGAAAAGUCUCCUCCCAUUCUGUGUGGAAGUGGUACUUUUGGCUUCUUACUUCAUUUUUACUUCAAGUAAAUUGGAGGGGCUAACUUAUUAGCUCGGUAGUUUGCGAUGCUAGCCUGUUCCGUAGCCUGCACAAUGUGGUGUAAACAAGGAAUAACAGGCGUAUAAAGGUGACUAUAGGGGUGUUAUGUUUACAUGGCUGUAAUAAAGCCAUAUUUACAAAGGGUUUCUAUGCUGUAGAUGUAAAAAAAAAAACAUCCAAUGACAUAAAACAAGCAAACACUGCAAUAAGACCACAUAGUAAUACCACUGUAGUAAUACCUUGGACUGGUACCACGAUUCGGCUUCAGCUCUGCUUCGAUUAGCAAUGUCUUCAUACUGGGCCCGCACUUCAGCAACAAUGGCGUCCAUGUCAAGGUUACGGCUGUUGUCCAUCUCCACCACCACGGACGUGUCCUUGAUCUGACUCUGGAGCUCCUGGAUUUCCUGCACAGGGAAAACCGAGAGACAUGGAAGAUACCAUAAAAGACACCAAAAAUAAUCAAUGCCAUAUUCAUUCAUAAUGUAGCGUCCUGUCAGAUAUCUUCAUUACCGCGUCGUAGAUCUGCCUCAGGAAGUCAAGUUCAUCAGAAAGUCCAUCCAGCUUGGUCUCCAGUUCUGCUUUGAUCAAGUACGCCGCGUCUGUGUCCUGCACGGCGACACACGAGACAAGUCACGUUGGGUUCAAAAUCGGUUCAGUCGACUUGGACCAACCUUCUUCAUGAGGACAAAGUUGUUCUCGCACUCGUUGCGUUUGUUGAUCUCCUCCUCGUAUCUAAAAAGCAGACUCGGAGAGUCAACUGCGGACAAUAUCUUAGAAUCGAUGCUGAAAUGAGGUCAAACAGAGGUCAAACAGAGGUCAAACAGAGGUCAAACAGCGCCAUCACUCACUUGGUCUUGAAGUCUUCAACCAGAGCUGUCAUGUGAUGCAGGUCAGACUCCAGUUUGACCUUCUCGUGACCGAGGCUGUCCAGCUGCCUGCGUAGGUUGGCGAUGUAGGCCUCAAACAUGGCGUCGAUGCCGGAGGGCGACGUGGUUUGCUCUUGUAGGACUUUCCAUUUGGUCUCCAGCAUUUUGUUCUGCUGUUCCAGGAAGCGUACCUGCAAACACGACAAGUAUUGAAUUUAAAAAAUUCCCCAGAUGGUGCAUUCAAGGACAAAUAGUUCAUUCUUUACCAGGUGAAAGGAUUCUUUCACUCAUCGAUUAUUAUGAUUAUGAUUAUUCUGACUAACAAUACGGCGUGGAAGUCAGUGUUUCCCGGCGGUGACACGGUCGUGCCCCUUUACAACCCCUCCAUUGAGUGUCCUCACCCUGGGUGGGGUCUUGGGCAAACAGGACAGGAGUGUGCGUGUGUGUUGGAGUUGUCGUUUACGAUGGCAUGUGAAGGAAGGAGGAGAGGGAUUGUUGUUUUUAUGAAUUCCUGUGACGGAGUCACAGGUUAACUUCUUCACCGCAUUUUUCCACGGGCCUCCUUAAACAAG